rnacentral:rRNA from 1 species
GGCUCAGGAUGAACGCUGGCGGCGUGCUUAAUACAUGCAAGUCGAACGGAGUGUAGCAAUACACUUAGUGGCGAACGGGCGAGUAACGAGUUGGUGAUCUGCCCCGAAGUGUGGGAUAACAGUCCGAAAGGAUUGCUAAUACCUCAUGUGGUUGCCGGGUUUAGAAGCUGGCAACUAAAGCAGUAAUGCGCUUCGGGAGGAACCUGCUUCCCAUCAGCUAGUUGGUGAGGUAACGGCUCACCAAGGCUACGACGGGUAAGGGACCUGAGAGGGUGGUCCCUCGCAAUGGCACUGAAACACGGGCCAUACACCUACGGGUGGCAGCAGUAGGGAAUAUUGGGCAAUGGGCGAAAGCCUGACCCAGCAACGCCGCGUGUGCGAUGAAGGCCUUCGGGUCGUAAAGCACUUUUCUGUGGAAUGAGAAUGGACAGUACCUCAGGAAUAAGUCUCGGCUAACUACGUGCCAGCAGCCGCGGUAAAACGUAGGAGACGAGCGUUAUCCGGAUUUACUGGGCGUAAGCGUGUGCAGGCGGUUCGGCAAGUUGGAUGUGAAAUCUCCCGGCUCAACUGGGAGGGGUCGUUCAAUACUACCGAACUUGAGGUCAUCAGAGGAAGGUGGAAUUCCGGGUGUAGUGGUGAAAUGCGUAGAUAUCCGGAGGAACACCAGUGGCGAAGGCGGCCUUCUGGGAUGAUCCUGACGCUCAGACACGAAAGCUAGGGGAGCGAACGGGAUUAGAGACCCCGGUAGUCCUAGCUGUAAACGAUGUAGACUUGGCGUCGGAGGGUUCAAAACCUUCGGUGUCGUAGCUAACGCGAUAAGUCUACCGCCUGGGGACUACGGCCGCAAGGUUAAAACUC